GAGGAAUCUUGCGCAAUGGGGGAAACCCUGACGCAGCAACGCCGCGUGAGUGAGGAAGGUCUUCGGGUCGUAAAGCUCUGUCAGGCGGGAAGAAAUGCAUGGAGGUGAACAGCCGCCAUGCUUGACGGUACCGCCAGAGGAAGCACCGGCUAACUCCGUGCCAGCAGCCGCGGUAAUACGGGGGGUGCAAGCGUUGUUCGGAAUCAUUGGGCGUAAAGAGCGUGUAGGCGGCUUGGUAAGUCAGAUGUGAAAGCCCUGGGCUCAACCCGGGAAGUGCAUUUGAAACUGCCAGGCUCGAGUAGGGGAGAGGGAAGUGGAAUUCCUGGUGUAGAGGUGAAAUUCGUAGAUAUCAGGAGGAACACCGGUGGCGAAGGCGACUUCCUGGCCCUAUACUGACGCUGAGACGCGAGAGCGUGGGUAGCAAAC
rnacentral:rRNA from 1 species